rnacentral:rRNA from 1 species
UACGUAGGGUGCAAGCGUUGUCCGGAAUUAUUGGGCGUAAAGAGCUCGUAGGCGGUCUGUCGCGUCUGCUGUGAAAACUCAGGGCUUAACCCUGAGCUUGCAGUGGGUACGGGCAGACUAGAGUGCGGUAGGGGAGACUGGAAUUCCUGGUGUAGCGGUGAAAUGCGCAGAUAUCAGGAGGAACACCGGUGGCGAAGGCGAGUCUCUGGGCCGUAACUGACGCUGAGGAGCGAAAGCAUGGGGAGCGAACAGG